GAUGAACGCUGGCGGCGUGCCUAAUACAUGCAAGUCGAGCGAACGGACGAGAAGCUUGCUUCUCUGAUGUUAGCGGCGGACGGGUGAGUAACACGUGGCUAACCUACCUAUAAGACUGGGAUAACUUCGGGAAACCGGAGCUAAUACCGGAUAAUAGUUUGAACCUCAUGGUUCAAAAGUGAAAGACGGUCUUGCUGUCACUUAUAGAUAGAUCCUCGCUGCAUUAGCUAGUUGGUAAGGUAACGGCUUACCAAGGCAACGAUGCAUAGCCGGCCUGAGAGGGUGAUCGGCCACACUGGAACUGAGACACGGUCCAGACUCCUACGGGAGGCAGCAGUAGGGAAUCUUCCGCAAUGGGCGAAAGCCUGACGGAGCAACGCCGCGUGAGUGAUGAAGGUCUUCGGAUCGUAAAACUCUGUUAUUAGGGAAGAACAUAUGUGUAAGUAACUGUGCACAUCUUGACGGUACCUAAUCAGAAAGCCACGGCUAACUACGUG
rnacentral:rRNA from 1 species